CGGUGUUUAACUGGCGUGAUGUGGGACGUCCUCCGGUGGGCUUAGCCUCGCGAGGGGCGGCCCAACUAAUAUCCCGUCGCGGUGCUCUUUACUGAGUGUCGAGUCGGGCCGGUACGUUUACUUUGAACAAAUUAGAGUGCUUAAAGCAGGCUAUCCUCGCCUGAAUACUGCGUGCAUGGAAUAAUGGAAUAAGACCUCUGUUCUAUUUUGUUGGUUUUCGGAACCCCGAGGUAAUGAUUAAUAGGGACAGAUGGGGGCAUUCGUAUUGCGACGUUAGAGGUGAAAUUCUUGGAUCGUCGCAAGACGGACAGAAGCGAAAGCAUUUGCCAAAAAUGUUUUCAUUAAUCAAGAACGAAAGUUAGAGGUUCGAAGGCGAUCAGAUACCGCCCUAGUUCUAACCAUAAACGAUGCCAGCUAGCGAUCCGCCGAAGUUCCUCCGAUGACUCGGCGGGCAGCUUCCGGGAAACCAAAGCUUUUGGGUUCCGGGGGAAGUAUGGUUGCAAAGCUGAAACUUAAAGGAAUUGACGGAAGGGCACCACCAGGAGUGGAGCCUGCGGCUUAAUUUGACUCAACACGGGAAACCUCACCAGGCCCAGACACCGGAAGGAUUGACAGAUUGAUAGCUCUUUCUUGAUUCGGUGGGUGGUGGUGCAUGGCCGUUCUUAGUUGGUGGAGCGAUUUGUCUGGUUAAUUCCGAUAACGAACGAGACUCUAGCCUGCUAAAUAGGCGUACCUUAUGGUAUCGCGAAGGCCCCCGGCUUCGGCCGGUGGGUUUUUACUACCAACGUACAAACAAAUCUUCUUAGAGGGACAGGCGG
rnacentral:rRNA from 1 species